CACGAAACUGUAUGAGCUAACUAAGAUUGAAACUAUGUUGCAAAAUAGCUAAGGAGUUAUAGUUAGGGGUGAAAGGCUUUUCAAACGCAGUGAUAUCUUGAUUUUCCCAAAAAGUAUUGAGCACAUUUAAAAAUUUAGAGCGAUAAGGUUUUAAAUAAUCAUUAAAUAGGAUUAGUUACAUAUGUUGAUAUAAAAGUCUACGAAAAUGGAAGUUAAUAUUAAUAACUUAGAAUUAUGAUAUGUAGGGAAAUAUUUGUUAAUUUAAUUUAAAAUAAAUAAUGUUAAUAUUAGUAAUUUGAAGGUACCAGUAGUGAACUCGGCAUUAAGCUUUCAACUGUUUAUCAAAAACAUAGCUGGGUGCAUUACACGCAGUAGUUUCUGCUCAAUGAUAUAUUUAAAUAGCCGCAGUACCUUGACUGUGCAAAGGUAGCGUAAUCAGUUGUCUUUUAAUUGGAGACGGGUAUGAAGGAAUAUAUGGGGGCUUUCUUUACCAUUGGUAUAAGUAGAAUUUACUUAUCGAGUGAAAAUACUCGUAGAUAAAUAAUAGACGAGAAGACCCUUGAAAUUUUCAGUAGUUUUUUGUUGGGGCAACAUAGUAGCAGGUAACCUACUAGAAUUAACUAGAAAUUAUGUGGUGUGAUUAAAUUACUCUAGGGAUAACAGCGUAAUCUUAAAUUGUUUGUGACCUCGAUGUUGGAUUAGGGAAUUGUCGCUUAGAA
rnacentral:rRNA from 1 species